GAUGAAGAACGUAGCGAAAUGCGAUACGUAGUGUGAAUUGCAGAAUUCCGCGAAUCAUCGAGUCUUUGAACGCAAGUUGCGCCCGAAGCCACUAGGCCGAGGGCACGCCUGCCUGGGCGUCACACGCCGUUGCCCCCCCAUCUACUCCUUCGGGAUUGCGGGGGGGCGGAUGAUGGCCUCCCGUGCGCCUAGCCGCGCGGUUGGCAUAAAUACCAAGUCCUCGGCGACGCACGCCACGACAAUCGGUGGUUGCGAAACCUCGGUUGCCCGUCGUGUGCGUUCGUCGCGCAUCGAGGGCUCGAAAAAAUGCUCGGCUCCGGCUGGGCUUUCAACGCGACCCCAGGUCAGGCGGGGUUACCCGCUGAAUUUAAGCAUAUCAAUAAGCGGAGGA
rnacentral:misc_RNA from 1 species